GUUGGGGUGGGUUUCUGCAGCAAGCCACGCAGGCUUGCUGGAAGGGUCCAGAGAGCGCUUUCCCAGGGCAGAACUGGACUUGCAGGAGCACCGAUGACUCAAAGGCAGCUGCACCACCAAAACACCCACCAACACCCACCAACACAGGUGACAACCUACAAAGCUGAAGCCUGGGGCACCUGGGAAGCAGCGUGGCUGGUCUGCUUGAAGAAAUGGUUGCCAGAGGCAGACCACUGUCUGGUGGGACGCAAACGCACACUGGCCCCAAACUGCAUCCACGCCCUCCCGUCGCUCCCGCUGGAUCGCGCAACACCACUGAACGCCAGGUACCUCAUCUGCAGGGCUGGUACCUCCUGCCCUUCUGUCUUCGCGCGUCCCUGAGAUGCCCCCACAGGCGGUGUGGCCGCGCUUCCUAAAACUGGGUAGUUCCCGACCCAGACCCUGAGCAUCCUUCUCUGAAGUCUGGGCAGAUAAGUGUGGUUCUCGCCCCUCAGCUCAGAAACUUCUCUUCGCAAUAGCUGGAGACCAUUACAGAAAACCACAGCCAAUCAAAACGCAGGGUUGCGGAGCACAGGGCCUGUCUACAACACUGCCCAGACCUGUGAGGCUCAGGGAUCAUUUUGGAAGAGGGGGGCAGAAAGACUGUAAGAGCCAGAGGAGCAGGGGGCUGUCAGAGGCCACACUCAUGAAGUCUCAUCAACAUGGCUGCCAAGCAUGACCUGAACAAAGACGCGGACACACAUGCUACUGGGAUGACCUUCCGGCACAUUGUAUGAAGCAGGAGAAGGUCAUCCCAGCACAGGCAAUAUGGACAGAGGAGCGCUCACGAGG